GCAGGACUGAGGGGAGUGUGUAACCAGAGAUAACGGUGGGCGAGGCUGAGGGUACGGGGCACGGUGGGUGAGGGGAGGAGAGGUAGAGAGAGAGAGAGAGAGGGGGAGACACAGAGAGGGCCGUCAGUAGCACCCCUCGCUCACACUCCCCUCACAAUUGGCAGUAACAAGGGGAAUGAGGGCUGGCGACACAUAAAUGGCGCCACGGGCAGCGUUGGGGACCAGUAGCCAGCAGCGGGUCCCAGGGCGGGCUGCCCCCUCCGCCAGGGGCUUCUCCUCGCCGGCCUCCCUCCAGCAGCAGCAGGAACAUCACCACGAAGACCAGCCGUAACAAGAGGAGGAUGACCCGAGGGGCAGGUGUCGUGGCGACCGGGCGCUGCUCCUGGGCAUGGAUGGAGGAAUAGCAGCACCAGAAGGAAGAGCAGGAGAACGACGAGGGAACAGAAAGAUAACUUUGGAAGAAAGUUGUUAAGAAAGUCUCACAAGACAUCAAGAAUGCAACAAAAUACUCCUGGUGACGAAUCUUUUCUGCCUCACACCUCAUUUCCGGUUGUUCCAGUUGCCUUCCCCUCGUCACAGAACUCCUUCAACCAGUACGACCCAAUGAUUCUCUCCCCCCUCAUCUACCUCCACUUCAACCACUCCAAACCAGCGCUUAAUUCUCUCUGAGAACCUCAAUUACGGCUUCACAUAACCGAAGCUCAAAACUGCCGUGUAUAUGUCCUGUCACUGAGGGAGGACCGAACACAGCAAGUGUCCAGGGAGCGGCAACCAGCGACAACGCUACCAGAGGGACAAUGGCCGCUACGGUGAGACACAAGUGUGGCCCACGUUAAGAGGACUGGAGCCAGGUGACCUCGCGUCCUUAUCACUACACGGAAACACUCAACGACUCACAACGUUUACCUGACGCCGCCUCAUGGACGGCUAUGGAGGAGAAUGUGUGUUCAAGAGAACCCUCUCCCGCUCUGAAUCCCAGCACUCGGACGUCACCUCACACUGGCCAGGUCUCAGCGCCCAGACGUACCCUCACACUGGCCAGGUCUCAGCGCCCAGACGUCACCUCACACUGCCCAGGUCUCAGCGCCCAGACGUCACCUCACACUGGCCAGGUCUCAGCGCCCAGACGUCACCUCACACUGGCCAGGUCUCAGCGCCCAGACGUCACCUCACACUGGCCAGGUCUCAGCGCCCAGACGUCACCUCACACUGCCCAGGUCUCAGCGCCCAGACGUCACCUCACACUGGCCAGGUCUCAGCGCCCAGACGUCACCUCACACUGCCCAGGUCUCAGCGCCCAGACGUACCCUCACACUGGCCAGGUCUCAGCGCCCAGACGUACCCUCACACUGCCCAGGUCUCAGCGCCCAGACGUACCCUCACACUGGCCAGGUCUCAGCGCCCAGACGUCCCCUCACACUGCCGUCUUGACGUCACCCUCAGCACUUGACGUCACCCCCAGCAGGGCGGCUCACAGCGAGGUCAGGUCACUACUAACGCAGUAGUCCAACCUUGAAGGAAGCGAUCAUGACGGCACCAGGGGACAAAUUUAUUUAACUCAGACACAUCACCAGAGAGUGAAUGGCAGAACCACGAACCCAGGAAAUGAAAAAGUGCAGAUAAAGAAGAUAUCUCAAAGUGAAUGAAGACAUCGCGAGGAGGAAGGCUGGAGAGAGAGAGACGAGGAGCGGAGAGAAGGUCAAGGAACCACUACAACGUGAGCCACUCUCAGGGCUACCAAGAGUGACGUCACGAGGCAGUUGAGGCAUGGCGUCAGGCAUCUGGCAGGGCUACCAAGAGUGACGUCACGAGGCAGCUGAUGCAUGGCGUCAGACAUCUUGCAGGGCUACCAAGUGUGGCGUCACGAGGCAGCUGAUGCAUGGUGUCAGACAUCUUGCAAGGCUACCAAUAGUGACGUCACGAGGCAGCUGAUGCAUGGCAUCAGACAUCUUGCAGGGCUACCAAGGGUGACGUCACGAGGCAGCUGAUACAUGACGUCAGAAAUCAUCCGGGGAUUGGCUGAUGCAAUCAUCGAGAAUAAAGUAAGGUGGAGCUACAUAAAGAAAUAAAACAGCUAUUAACGUAAAUAUAUAAGUCAGCCAAAUUGCCAAGAAUUAGAUUAGAAGAGCACUUCUCAAAAUAAUUAAAUGAAAAGGAAUGAAAUGAUUAUAAUAUAUCAGUUGGACUUAUCACGGACCCGUUAGCUAACGCUCACAAGGAUUUAUAUAGACUGAGAGAUGCACCCCUCGCAGUGUAUAUAUACAUCCUUGUAUAUACCCCUUUGUGUAUAUACAUUGAGAGGUUUACUUUAGUAAACUUGCUGAUUGGUCAGCGAGCUAUUUCCGUGACCAUAGCAACCUUCGGCCGCGAUGGAUAGGCUUUAACACAGGCAUAUUAUAUGCUUACUCGGCAUGGUAUAUAUAUUAUAGCAUAUUAAUUAUAAUUUCGUACCUGUAAAACAUAUAUAUAUAUAUAAUCGAAUCAUCUUUACCAGGACCCAUAAGCACAUUAGUUGAGUUUACCUGGAGUCAACACUAAAAAUUGACGAAGCCCGCAUGAUGCCUACAGUCACGUGACACUUCCCAUAACCCACCUCGCUCCCUCUAGUAUGUAUAUACUCCAAGGUUCAGCCAUAGGCUAAUUAUAUUAUUUUUUUUAUUUUUCAGUUAACUGAGUUUGUUAUUUAUGUUUAAACCAAUAUUGUUUUAAAAGAAAAGACAAAUGUUUGUAAUGUGUAUGACUUUUUUUGUAAUUAUGGUUUAAACAUAAUGGGUUCAUAUGUGAACAUAUUUUGAAGUUAUUCAUAAUUUGAACAUACAGAUGUUAUAUUUUGGUUCCUGUAUUUGCGGUCUGGCAGCCGUGUUCAUGUCAACUUUUGCUUGGAGAGUAUAUAUAUAUAUAUAUGGGUUUAUGUAUUCAAAUUCUUAGUUAAAAUGUUAUCAAUUUUGAUCCUGUUUGAAGGUUGGAAAUGUUGUUUACACACGAAAUUUUUGUUUUGCAUGCAAAAUUAGCAAAUACAGUAUUUCCAUACAAUUUCUGUAUAUACAAUACUUUCAUACAACUAGAGCAUAUGUAAUAUUUUCACACAACUACAGUACGUAUACAUUUUUGUCAUUUAAUAGCAGAAUAUACAGAGUAUCAUUCAACUCUAGCAUAUACAGUAUUUUCAUACACCUACAACAUAUACAGUAUUGUAUUAAAAUUAUUAUAUUAUGUGUUCAUUUCACUCGAGUAAAAUAUUUAAGUUAUUGUUUGCUUAUAUAUGUCACCAUACUUUGUUAAUUGGGCUUAAUCUUUAUUUUGUAGAAAUUCCAACAAAAUACAUAUAUUUUGUGUUAUACAUUAUAAAGUAUUACCUCUGGUUGGAGAGGAGAUUCAUAGCAUCGGAAAGAGAGACAUACACAGCAUUAGAGGGUAUGUUUUGAUCCCCAUCAAUGCAGGUUCCAUGUUCUUUUUUACACAAAAUAUAUAUUGUGUGAAUUUUGUGCUUAUUUGGCUACUAUAUAUAUAUAUAUAAUUUUUUCUGUGUUAUGAAAAGGGACUAUAGUUGCUCUGACUGCUAUGUUUAUCACAUAAUAUGAAGCCAUUGCUAUAUUUUUUUUCCUCAUACCUGUAACUGACAAAACGAUAUGAAACGUACAAUGCAUGAAGUUCAGGUUUUAUAUUGUAUUUUUUUGUUUUUAUAUGUUUAAACACCGCCUUCAGGUGGUUCCUCCAGCUUCUCACAAUCCUCCAUGAUCCUUCCCAAUCCGUACACCUUUCACAAGUCUGUAUCAUAUAGUGCCAGAGCCACAAAUUACUCAUGAUGCGCUCUAUUUAUUAUAUUCUGAAAUGGUAUUUCAGUAGGAAAAUAUUGGAAUUUAAAAAAACAUUGCAAUAGUUUUUUCUAAUAUGAGAAACAUUGAGAAGAUGUACGGUGGAAGGCUUAGAAGCCCCCAUGGCAGCUUGGCACUUACGACCUCGUGUUCUCUGUCUGUCACACAUCUUACUGGUCGACUAGUUCCCUCCUAAAAAAAUUUUUUUUAUUUACCUGACCAAUUGAAAAAGGAUACAAUAUAAUCAAUAUGAGUUCUUGAACUAUCCUAGGAGUUAAUAAUUCACGGAUAAUUCACGCCCAACUUAACUUUGCUUAUUAGAUCACAAUCCCUAUUUUAGUCGCCCCAUAUAGACAAAAAUUAUGUCGUUUUCAAUACGUUCUGUAAUUUAUUAUUUUGGUUUGAGGCUAGGCCGACCACCUCCGCAUCUUGCAUGUUCCUGCUCGACUAUUGCAUUUGAGGUUUAUUUUCUUUUAUGUUAUGUAACUGGCGGCCGCUGUGCCUUUAUACUGUCAUUGGUGCUCUUAAUGCUUAAGUUUACGCAUGCUUUAAGGCUUUCCUUCUUUUGUUUUUGUAGCGACUGCUUCAGUCCACGUCUAUACGAUUUUACAUAUAUGAAUACCAGGACGGACACACAUAUGUGCAAGAACGUAUGUAUGUAUGUGUAUGCAUAAAUGUAUGCCAGGAAAUGGAUACACAUAUAUAUAAAUAAUAAAUAAAUAAAUGUUUAUUUAGGUAAGGUACAUACAAGAGAUUUUACAAAGAUUGGUGGAUUUAUAGAUAGAGCUAGUACAUACAAUGCCUAAAGCCACUAUUACGUAAAGCGUUUCGGACAGGAACAUAUAUAUGCAAGAACGUAUACAUAUGUUUUAUGCAAGAACAUGAUCAUACGUAGGUAGGCUUAUGCAUAUAUAUACAAGCACGUCGACCCUAUGAAUAAAUGCAAGCACACGGUCCUAUGCAUACAUGUAUGUAUGUCGGCCUAUACAUAUAUGUAUGCAAGUAUAGCGUGUGUGUGUUUUUAUGUAUAAACAUGUGUUCCCAGUUUGUGACCCAUACAUGUAUGCAUACAUAAUCACGGAUGCAGGAGAUAGCUUAUGAUUAUAUAUUUUUGCUGUGCUCUCAUUUUUGUCCGACACAGACGUGAAUACCCUAUAAAAGGACCUUCGAGCAUAUACAUACUAGAGUGAGCAAAGUGCUGAGGACAACAAAGCUGGUCACGUGACACAAGGCAGCGUGAACCUCUUCUCUGGCUAUCUGUAUAAACAUAACAAUAGAAACACAGUAAGCGAUCUUAACCUGUUUAUAAGAGUUAGACUCAGUUUUUUUUGUAUACUAAACAACUACUCAUGGCUAUAUCUAUAGCUUAGGAGUCACGUGAGCUCUUCCAUCCUUGCCUCAUCUUUGUAACGUCAUGUUCACUCUAGUAUUUAUAUUCUCGAAGAUAAGGAUGUCACUUAUUUGGUAUUUUCCUUCAUAUUACUCUGUGCAAAGCUGCUGUUUACGCGAAUUUCAUUUGAAUGUGGGGCACAUAUUUAUAUAUCAUCAUGCAUGUUAGUGUGUAUUGAUUAUUUGUGCGAUUUCUAACGCUUAGAUCAAGUUAGGUUAGGUUAGGCUAGGCUAGGUUGACAGGUUAGGUUAUGUUAGGUUAGGUUAGGUUAGGUGAAGUUAAGUCAGGUCAGGUUAGGUUAGGUUAGGUCAGGUUAAGUUAGGUUAGGUAAGGUUAGGUUAGGUUAGGUUAGGUUAGGUUAGGUUAGGUUAGGUCAGGUUAAGUUAGGUUAGGUUAGGUCAGGUUAAGUUAGGUUAGGUUAGGUUUGGCUGGAGUCCAGCACCAAAUGGUCUCUUUCUACGACACAUUUUCUUAGUUCAUGAGAGCUUACAGAACCAGCUUUAAUUUGCCUACUUUGUGUAGUUAAGUUGCAUAUCAUUACAUGUGCUUGAUUAUUUUUUAUUUUAAUCUAUUUAGAGUCCCCUUAAUUAUUUUUUUUACUGGUAUAUACGCAUUUAAGGUUGGGAAAAGAUCCAGUUAAUGUCUAAAUUAAUAGGUUAAUUGUCCUGUCUUAAUUAAUCUUUUAUAUCUCCAUUAUUAUUAGUUUUUCAAGAUUUGUUUUUUCAAUUUUUUUUUAUUAUAUUGAGUUAUUUAAUUUUCGGUUUAUUCCAUAGUUCCUGUGUAAACAUUUAUGUUGAUAAUUGUGUUCUUCGCUAGUGUUUAGUUUGCAAUGUUGCAUGCAAUUAUUUGUUCAGUUAAUAGACUUAUUUCAUGUAUUAUCUGUAGAUGUGUUUAAUAACUCGGUCAUUUAUUACGAUAUAUUUACUAUCUCAUUUAAUUUAUACUUGUAUAUAUUUCAAUACGAAUGCAUUAAUUUUUUUCCUAGCUCCCCAACCUUAUCCUAGCUCCCAACCUUAUCCUAGCUCCCAACCUUAUCCUAGCUCCCAACCUUAUCCUAGCUCCCAGCCUUAUCCUUGCUCCCAACCUUAUCCUUGCUCCCAACCUUAUCCUAGCUCCCAACCUUAUCCUAACUCCCAACCUUAUCCUAGCUCCCAGCCUUAUCCUAGCUCCCAGCCUUAUCCUAGCUCCCAACCUUAUCCUAACUCCCAACCUUAGAUUUGAAGUGUUCAAUAAUAAUAAAAGGAGGUAAUUGUUACUUCCUUUUAUUACUGAUAAAUAAUUUAGUUAAUUAACAUUAAUAAUGAUUUGUUCUGUUAAACAUUUUAUUCAAAACAAAACAAAAAUCCGAUCUGUAUACUCCCAUUCUAUCAUAUUUUUAAACAUUUAUUUGUGUAUGUCUAAUUUUUCGUGAAUUAGGUAUAUGUUUGUGAAGGCCCAAUGCUUCCUGUCUUAUGCAUAUAUGUGUAUAGGCCUAAUUCUUCGUCUCUUAUUCAUAUUUUUGUGUAGAACCAUUGCUUUUGGCCUCUGAUAUAUUCAAUAUAGGAUCCCUCGCAGCGUGUUAAUGUUAGUUUAUGAUUUUGUUUCUAGUUU